UACGUAGGGUGCGAGCGUUAAUCGGAAUUACUGGGCGUAAAGCGUGCGCAGGCGGUUAUGUAAGACAGUUGUGAAAUCCCCGGGCUCAACCUGGGAAUUGCAUCUGUGACUGCAUAGCUAGAGUACGGUAGAGGGGAUGGAAUUCCGCGUGUAGCAGUGAAAUGCGUAGAUAUGCGGAGGAACACCGAUGGCGAAGGCAAUCCCCUGGACCUGUACUGACGCUCAUGCACGAAAGCGUGGGAGCAAACAGG
rnacentral:rRNA from 1 species